AAAUCCACUAUUCCGGAAUUUGCAGAUCUAGAAAAGGCACAAUCUGGUCGAGAGUAAAAACCAGGCAGCAUCAUCGAGCCAUCACUAUUAUUGCAUCAUCAUCGAUAAAAAAGGAAAAAGAUUCCAAAAUUCGCUGAAGGGAUCAUCCAGUCUAGGACAGAAAUCAGGUAGCAUCAUUGGGCCACUCCCAUUGAGCCAUCAUUAUUAUUACAUCAUCAUCGGAAGGAUGGAAGAGCAAAGAACUACGACUCCAGAACUUACAGAUCUACGAAUGGGACAAUCUGCUUGAGGACUGGAAUCGAACAACAUCGGGUUACUUAUCGCACUUUUAUCGCCAUCGAGCCAUCAUCACUGAAUCAU